rnacentral:rRNA from 1 species
UACGUAGGGGGCGAGCGUUGUCCGGAAUCAUUGGGCGUAAAGAGCGUGUAGGUGGCUUGGAAAGUCUUACGUGAAAGCCUGCGGCUCAACCGCAGAAGUGCGUGGGAAACCACCUCGCUAGAGUCCGGAAGAGGAGAGCGGAAUUCCUGGUGUAGCGGUGGAAUGCGCAGAUAUCGGGAGGAACACCAGUAGCGAAGGCGGCACUCUGGGCCGGAACUGACGCUGAGGAGCGAAAGCGUGGGGAGCGAACAGG